rnacentral:rRNA from 1 species
AUUGAACGCUGGCGGCAUGCUUUACACAUGCAAGUCGAACGGUAACAGGGUGCUUGCACCGCUGACGAGUGGCGAACGGGUGAGUAAUGCGUCGGAACGUGCCGAGUAGUGGGGGAUAACGCAUCGAAAGGUGUGCUAAUACCGCAUACGUACUGAGGUAGAAAGUGGGGGACCUUCGGGCCUCACGCUAUUCGAGCGGCCGACGUCUGAUUAGCUAGUUGGUGAGGUAAAGGCUCACCAAGGCGACGAUCAGUAGCGGGUCUGAGAGGAUGAUCCGCCACACUGGGACUGAGACACGGCCCAGACUCCUACGGGAGGCAGCAGUGGGGAAUUUUGGACAAUGGGCGCAAGCCUGAUCCAGCCAUGCCGCGUGUCUGAAGAAGGCCUUCGGGUUGUAAAGGACUUUUGUCCGGGAGCAAAUACCCAGUGCUAAUAACGCUGGGGGCUGAGAGUACCGGAAGAAUAAGCACCGGCUAACUACGUGCCAGCAGCCGCGGUAAUAC